rnacentral:rRNA from 1 species
CAGUAGCCACGGUAAUACGAAGGGGGCUAGCGUUGUUCGGAAUUACUGGGCGUAAAGGGCGCGUAGGCGGCCAUUCAAGUUAGAUGUGAAAGCCCUGGGCUCAACCUAGGAAUUGCAUUUGAGACUGUAUGGCUAGAGUGUGUCAGAGGGGGGUAGAAUUCCACGUGUAGCAGUGAAAUGCGUAGAUAUGUGGAGGAAUACCGAUGGCGAAGGCAGCCCCCUGGGAUAACACUGACGCUCAUGCACGAAAGCGUGGGGAGCAAACAGGAUUAGAUACCCCUGUAGUCCCUGUCUCUUAUAC